CGAACGCUGGCGGCGUGCUUAACACAUGCACGUCGCACGGAAAGGCCCUGCUUUUGUGGGGUGCUCGAGUGGCGAACGGGUGAGUAACACGUGAGUAACCUGCCCUUGACUUUGGGAUAACUUCAGGAAACUGGGGCUAAUACCGGAUAGGAGCUCCUGCUGCAUGGUGGGGGUUGGAAAGUUUCGGCGGUUGGGGCUGGACUCGCGGCUUAUCAGCUUGUUGGUGGGGUAGUGGCUUACCAAGGCUUUGACGGGUAGCCGGCCUGAGAGGGUGACCGGCCACAUUGGGACUGAGAUACGGCCCAGACGCCUACGGGAGGCAGCAGUGGGGAAUAUUGCACAAUGGGCGGAAGCCUGAUGCAGCAACGCCGCGUGCGGGAUGACGGCCUUCGGGUUGUAAACCGCUUUCGCCUGUGACGAAGCGUGAGUGACGGUAAUGGGUAAAGAAGCACCGGCUAACUACGUG
rnacentral:rRNA from 1 species